AAGAAGACAACGAAAAAAAAAACCCAACAACAACCAAAAAAACAUUUCGGGAACGACAUGACGCAGAUUUGCGGUUGUCACCGUCAUUGUCACUUUCACUUUCAUUUUCAUUGUCACUUUCACUCUUUCUUUCC
rnacentral:ribozyme from 17 species